GGGGGUAUAGCUCAGUUGGUAGAGCGUCUGAUUUGCAUUCAGAAGGUCGCCGGUUCGAAUCCGACUAUCUCCACCA
rnacentral:tRNA from 1 species